rnacentral:rRNA from 1 species
AUUGAACGCUAGCGGCAGGCCUAACACAUGCAAGUCGAACGAGUGGCGGACGGGUGAGUAAUGUCUGGGAAACUGCCUGAUGGAGGGGGAUAACUACUGGAAACGGUAGCUAAUACCGCAUACAAUCGGAUGUGCCCAGAUGGGAUUAGCUAGUAGGUGGGGUAACGGCUCACCUAUGCGACGAUCCCUAGCUGGUCUGAGAGGAUGACCAGCAACACGGGAACUGAGACACGGUUCAGACUCCUAAGGGGGGCAGCAGUGGGGAAGAUAGCACGAUGGGCGCAAGCCUGAUGCAUCCAUGCCGCGUGUAUGAAGAAGGCCUUCGGGGUGUAAAGUACUUUCAGCGGGGGGGCGUUACCCGCAGAAGAAGCACCGGCUAACUCCGUGCCAGCAGCCGCGGUAAUAC